rnacentral:rRNA from 1 species
GAUGAACGCUGGCGGCGUGCCUAAUACAUGCAAGUCGAGCGAACAGACGAGGAGCUUGCUCCUCUGACGUUAGCGGCGGACGGGUGAGUAACACGUGGAUAACCUACCUAUAAGACUGGGAUAACUUCGGGAAACCGGAGCUAAUACCGGAUAAUAUAUUGAACCGCAUGGUUCAAUAGUGAAAGACGGUUUUGCUGUCACUUAUAGAUGGAUCCGCGCCGCAUUAGCUAGUUGGUAAGGUAACGGCUUACCAAGGCAACGAUGCGUAGCCGACCUGAGAGGGUGAUAGGCCACACGGGAACUGAGACACGGUCCAGACUCCUACGGGAGGCAGCAGUAGGGAAUCUUCCGCAAUGGGCGAAAGCAUGACGGAGCAACGCCGCGUGAGUGAUGAAGGUCUUCGGAUCGUAAAACUCUGUUAUUAGGGAAGAACAAAUGUGUAAGUAACUAUGCACGUCUUGACGGUACCUAAUCAGAAAGCCACGGCUAACUACGUG